rnacentral:rRNA from 1 species
GGAAUAUUGCACAAUGGGCGGAAGCCUGAUGCAGCGACGCCGCGUGAGGGAUGAAGGCCUUCGGGUUGUAAACCUCUUUCAGCAGGGACGAAGCGUGAGUGACGGUACCUGCAGAAGAAGCACCGGCUAACUACGUGCCAGCAGCCGCGGUAAUACGUAGGGUGCGAGCGUUGUCCGGAAUUACUGGGCGUAAAGAGUUCGUAGGCGGUUUGUCGCGUCGUUUGUGAAAACCCGGGGCUCAACUUCGGGCUUGCAGGCGAUACGGGCAGACUUGAGUGUUUCAGGGGAGACUGGAAUUCCUGGUGUAGCGGUGAAAUGCGCAGAUAUCAGGAGGAACACCGGUGGCGAAGGCGGGUCUCUGGGAAACAACUGACGCUGAGGAACGAAAGCGUGGGUAGCAAACAGGAUUAGAUACCCGUG